AUUGAACGCUGGCGGCAUGCCUUACACAUGCAAGUCGAACGGGGGUAGCAAUACCCUAGUGGCGAACGGGUGAGUAAAGCAUCGGAACGUACCCAGUUGUGGGGGAUAACGUAGCGAAAGUUACGCUAAUACCGCAUACGCACUGAGGUGGAAAGCGGGGGACCUUUGGGCCUCGCGCAAUUGGAGCGGCCGAUGUCGGAUUAGCUAGUUGGUGAGGUAAAAGCUCACCAAGGCGACGAUCCGUAGCUGGUCUGAGAGGAUGAUCAGCCACACUGGAACUGAGACACGGUCCAGACUCCUACGGGAGGCAGCAGUGGGGAAUUUUGGACAAUGGGCGAAAGCCUGAUCCAGCCAUGCCGCGUGAGUGAAGAAGGCCUUCGGGUUGUAAAGCUCUUUCAGACGGAAAGAAAUAGCUUCGGUGAAUAUCCGAGGUUGAUGACGGUACCGUAAGAAGAAGCACCGGCUAACUACGUGCCAGCAGCCGCGGUAAAAUCACGUGUAC
rnacentral:rRNA from 1 species